UACGUAGGUGGCAAGCGUUAUCCGGAAUUAUUGGGCGUAAAGCGCGCGCAGGCGGUUUCUUAAGUCUGACGUGAAAGCCCACGGCUCAACCGUGGAGGGUCAUUGGAAACUGGGGAACUUGAGUGCAGAAGAGAAAAGCGGAAUUCCACGUGUAGCGGUGAAAUGCGUAGAGAUGUGGAGGAACACCAGUGGCGAAGGCGGCUUUUUGGUCUGUAACUGACGCUGAGGCGCGAAAGCGUGGGGAGCAAACAGG
rnacentral:rRNA from 1 species